UUUUCCAAUCCCCACUUCCCCGUCUCCUCCACGGACCCCCAAAAAAUCCCAAAUUGCCGGCGGAACCCUAGCUCUGGUGCUAGUGCUACUGCCACCACCUCCGGCGGAAUCGGCGGCGGCUCCUCCCCGGCGCCGCACCUCGGAGGUUGCGCUGCUCGGAGCGUCGCCCGUCGCGUCCUUCCUCCGGCUACACCUUCAGGAUUCGCGCCGCUCUGGUCCGAGGGCUUUGGACCGUCCUCUUACCUCUGUGCACAUGUGUUAUCCGUUCAUGUGCAAAGCAGGACGUUUACACCAUCAACGGGUGUCAGACAUGGACUCUUCCACCCUCCUUUGCCAGUGUUGUGUCAUGCUCGAGCACGCCAUCAACUUGUGCCGGACACGGACUCCACAUGAACUCCCUCCUUUGCCACAUAAUAGGCAUCGAGUGCUCUAAGGAAGCAUCCAAUCUCGCUGUUCUACCAACUUCGCCGGAACACCGACCGCCGGUGCUCCACCUGAGGUUGUUUUCAACUGGAGACAAAAUCAGUGUUAUUGUCAUGCAUGGAAGAAGAGCUCGACCUUAUUGCUAACAUGUUUUAUCGCAGACCAUGCUGUAGAGUCGCACAAACCGCUAGUGCUGCUUUUGCUUUGUGACAUUUUCAGAUCCACAGAUAGAUCCGCUGAUGGAUUUAAGUUUUCAUUCACCAACUACUCAAUUCCUCGGAGAUGAGGAUCGUUCUGUAGCUCAUAUUGGCACCUCAACAAUUUUAAUUCCCUGGCGCCACAUGGACUUGGAUCAAUUUUUUCUUCCUAAAAUGUAUUGAAUUUAUUAUGAUUCAUUGAAGUCAUUUGACAAAGAGAAAUGUUCUCUGUAUAGUGGAUACAAGUACUCAUCAUAGAUCCUUUUACUUGCUAGCAACAAGGAGGUUUGUAUCUUCUCAUCUUUUCAAUGAAAUGAAACGCAAAGAGUCCUUUGCGUUUUCUCGAAAAAAAAAGAAAAAAAAAGCAACAAUUGAUAUUCCUAAUCAGUCUGCACCUUGGCAGGCGGAUCCAUCAGCAUGGAGAAGUUCGAUGAUUUUAAGGUUGGUGACUGGGUUACAGUCAAAGCAACAGGCGAUUCAGGUUUGUGUGGAAAGUUCUCACCUAUUAACAAAGGAUCUCAUUUUAAAUCAAAAUUGUGGAUGCCCAGUAGGUGCUUGGCUGAUGGAGAGUGUUGCACUGCUGCUUAUUUAAUGGAAAACAGCAGGAAGGAAAUAGAGCGGGUUGUGUGUCAUCAUGCACGCAGUCUACCUUCCAUUGGCGUGCGAGUACUUGCAUUUGGAUCGCCCAAUUGUGUGUGCACAGCAGGGGACCAUGCGCUGGAACAUCGGAUUCAACCUACUCACAAGUUGAAGAGAAGGUUACGUAUGCUUUUUAAUUUUUGAACAAUCAGUACUGCACCAGCGGUAAUCUACAGGGAAGGCAAGGAUAACUAGAUUAAACAUUUCACAAGAUCCUCCCAAUUAUAGGCACAAUCUCCUUUUCAAGAUAUUACGAGUGGUUGACUACCGGAGAUUAUCAGAUGGAAAGAUGGUUGUAUGAUCUUCGAGGCUGCUGCUUCUUUGUUAUGUCGAUCGAGGCUGUAUGAUCUGUGCAGGUUGCUGCUUGUUUGUUCUGUCAGUGGAGGUCACCGCCGUGUCUCCCGCCGGUCCGCGACAUAGCUUGCAAUCUAGGUUGUUGCCAAGUUAACUUGGGAUUGGUAACCUACAAUGUAUCAUGUGAAGGUGGGAUUACAUUCUAUACUCUUGAAACUAUGUACUCCCUCCGUUCCUAAAUAUUUGUCUUUCUAGAGAUUUCAACAAGUGACUACAUACGGAGCAAAAUGAGUGAAUCUACACUCUAAUAUAUGUCUAUAUACAUCCGUAUAUGGUAACCAUUUGAAAUCCCUAAAAAGACAAAUAUUUAGGAACGGAGGGAGUAGAAUUUUGUAUGUACAUUGUUCACUUCAGCAAAAUAGAGAUCCCCUAACUAGCAUAUAAAUGUUGGCUAUGAUCGCACUUUUCUACAUUGUCAUAUUUGUAGAUAUGCUGUGUGAUGGAGUAUCAACUAGCUACCUUUGGUCGCACUUAGUAUAAAAGUCUCAAUUGUGGUGAUUUUUUUGCAGUUCA